rnacentral:rRNA from 1 species
AGUGAACGCUGGCGGUAGGCCUAACACAUGCAAGUCGAACGGCAGCACAGGAGAGCUUGCUCUCUGGGUGGCGAGUGGCGGACGGGUGUGGAAUACAUCGGAAUCUACUCUGUCGUGGGGGAUAACGCAGGGAAACUUACGCUAAUACCGCAUACGACCUACGGGUGAAAGCAGGGGACCUUCGGGCCUUGCGCGAUUGAAUGAGCCGAUGUCGGAUUAGCUAGUUGGCGGGGUAAAGGCCCACCAAGGCGACGAUCCGUAGCUGGUCUGAGAGGAUGAUCAGCCGCACUGGAACUGAGACACGGUCCAGACUCCUACGGGAGGCAGCAGUGGGGAAUAUUGGACAAUGGGCGCAAGCCUGAUCCAGCCAUACCGCGUGGGUGAAGAAGGCCUUCGGGUUGUAAAGCCCUUUUGUUGGGAAAGAAAUCCAGCUGGCUAAUACCCGGUUGGGAUGACGGUACCCAAAGAAUAAGCACCGGCUAACUUCGUGCCAGCCGCCGCCGUAA